UGGAUAAGCUAAGCCCCUCCCUCUUAACGUGGCAGCCCCCUAAUUUAUAAUUAUGAUGACUCUUCAAGCUUUAAAGAGAUGUGGGCUAGUCUUGAGUUCAAAUCGAUACAAAUUGUCAUGUUAUAUCUUAGUCAUAUAUAUGGGUGUUUCCUAUAUUUGAUACUCUCUGGAAAUUGUUCCUUUUUGGAACCUUCAUGUCCCGCCGAAUACCUUUCAGGUCACCUCUCUCCUCUUUGUGUGUACUACUCCAUCUGGGAUGGUUGAUUCUUGGAUUGUAUGAAUUUAUAUAAUAUAUGUCAAAUUUCUCGUAAGAGUGAUAAUGCAUAUACUGUAUCAGUUUCUAGAUUAGCAAUGAAGAUAUUUAGUGAUACGUCUUUGAGAAUUUUGCGUAGUGUGGUGUGACAGAUCUCUACAAAAGUCCCACGGGAUUGUCUGUACUAAUUGACUAAUUGAUAUUUAUAGUAUUAAUAAUACUUCUGAUUGUGUCAUUUUGCACUUUGAUGUUUGAAGGGGGCCGGGGGUGUACAUUUUAUUCAAAUUGUCAUCUUAAAUAUUAAUCUUUGGAUAUGACAAGAUCUGGGAUAAAUCCAUGGACUCUAUAUUGCUAAUUCUCGGCAAAUCUUGCUCUUGGGAUUUAUCUGAAGGAAAAGUCUCAUUUUAUCUUGCUGUUACUUUCUAUUAUUUCAUAAGUAGUUAGUUCUUCUUCGGAUUGAUUAUAAUUUGCUUUUCUGCAAAUUGUAUUUGCGAGAUGUGAUUUUUUUUUUUGGAACUUUCGUUUGUUUUACUGAAUACAAGCAUUUUGUUGUGAUAUUAUGUCCACACUUGGAUAUAGUAAUUUUCAUUUUCAUGAAUACUCGCAGAGUUACAAUAUCUGUGGGUAGAAGGUGAAAGUGACAUGAGGAAAGUUUUAGCAGAGUAUCAAAGGUUGAAGUAACCUUAUAUCUAUUGUUUUAUUUUUUCCUUAUCCAAAAAAAAAGGUUGAAGGUUCUAUAUCUACAUUUAAAAAUGUUUGAAAUGAGAUAUUUAUACGGUCGCCAACCUUUAAACCACUCCCUCCUAUUUAAAAGGAAAAACACACACAGUUGUGCUACUUGAUUAUUUAGCCCCGAUAAUCGCGAGCUUUUAUAAUGUAGUCUCAUUAUUCGUCCUGCAUAUGGAUAAAAAAUGAUCAAUGAAAUCACGAAAUCUGCACUCUCGUUAAAGUUAACUACUAAACAUUGUUGUUUAUAGUACUAUGUACUUUCAUUUAGUUUCUAAAUGUGCAAAUUUUUUGUGUCCUAUUAUUUUAUCAUCGGUUCGUGGGUCUCAGAGUAAUACGCAGUUGAAAAAGGUUAUCCGGAAGAAAUAUUGAGAUUAUUACGUAUUUUUCAUGCCUUUCACCUAUUUAUACAUGUGCAUUGACCCCUGACUAGAUGUCGUUAUAUACAUGUAUAUAUGUAAAUAUACGUAUAUGUGAUAUGGGAAAAGGUUACGGCGUUAUAUACGCACCACCACCUAAUCAACUGGUAUACGUUGACGAUUUUUCCCACAGUGGCACCAGAUGACUUUAUAUACGCGUAUAUAUGUAAAUAUAUGCAUAUGGGAUAUGAGAAAAGGUUACGGCGUUAUACGCGCACCAUCACCUGAUCAGCUGAUAUACGUUGAUGAUUUUCCGAUAGUGGCCGAGAUGAUGUGAUGGAAUGCCCUCAGAGGCUUUACGAUGUUAUGAACACAUGUACCUAUGCACGACAUGAUAUACAUACGCAUAUAUAUGAUACUAUAAGUAUUUCAUUAUUUACAAAGUUAUGCCAGUUCUAAAAAUAAAGUUUGUUCUCAGUUAGGUUCUUUUAUUUCUAUGGUUUGCCAGUUGAUGUGAUUUCAAAUAUAUGAAUUUCCUUGUUGCAGGAUAACAGAAAAUACAUGGCUGAUAAAGAGAAGAAAUUUACAUGUGCAUUAUAGUAUUGGUAAAGUUUUCUAAUGAAAAGGGAAGUAGUAAUUGUUGAAUAGUACGUAUAGGAGAUAUAAUUUCUAAAAGUGCAAGUGUUGAUUUUAAAAUUUCAGUCCUUUUGUUUUGUGGGAUAAGGCCUUUAAUAAAUCACUAUGAUAGUGUUGCAGACCUCAUUAAUAAUUUAGGUCUUACAUGUUAGCCAAAAUUAUUACUGUUGUCUAUAUUUCCAUUUCUAAUAUUAUAGAUUAUUUUGCAUAGGCCUGAAUUUUUGUCACAAUAUGUCUUCUAUUAAUGAUGAAUUAUGGUUAUGUUUCAGUUCUACCUUACGUACUUGAUACAUUAUUCGUACUGACGUCCUUUUGUUGAGGACGCUGCAUUCAUGCUUGCAGGUAUAGAUAAUCAGUUUGACGAGCCCUCAUAGUAGACGAAAUUGGUAUUCAGUGAAGGAUCGGUAAGACUACACUUCAUUCGGAAUGCAUCCGAGUUUUAUGAGUCAUCGUGUCAGGAUAUUGCUACACACUUAUGGGUAGGUCGGUACCCUGUCCCAUUUGAUGUCAAAUAAUCUUAAAGGCUUUGUAGACAAAGGUUUAGUUUAUACAGUAUGUCAGAGGCCUCAACGACCCAUAUGUAUUCAUGUUUUUAAGAACGGUAGUUUCAUUUUACAGAGUUGUGGCCAUGUGGGCCCAUGAUAGUUACAAAAGAAAUGAGUUCAGGUAACUCGACCUAUGUAUAUUCCAGUUUUGGUCGAAUGAUCAUGAGUUACAGAGUGGUUUGCUCGGGCCAUCACGACACCGAGUACCAGCCACGCCUCCCGAGGUUUGGGGUGUGACAUAUAAGAUUCAAUAAAUUUAGGGUUCAACUUGUUCUUCUUUCCAUAUCUCUUAACCCUUUUGAUAGGCGACACUUCCAAAAUAUACUGUCGUCUUUCAUGAACUCUAAUUUUGGAUGUUGCUUGUCCAAAUAGGACUUUUGAUUGCAGUCUUAAGUCUUUCUUAGAUGAUCUUCACUUUCUCUAAGACUUCAGAACAAGUUUGGGCAUGUUAGUUGUGUCUUGAUAGUAGGCGAUAUAGUUGAUAUUUACACCUUAAUAUGACCAUACUUUGUUGUUAUUUUAUAGAUAAAUUGCCAACAAAAUGCUCUAAAUAGUGUUCUCUUGUUUAGCAGGGAAUAUUAUAUGAGAGAAAGCAACAUGGAGUGUUUUUGAGGCGAUAAUGUGAUAAAAACACCCACUCGAGAAGUACCCGAACACAAAGAAGCAUAAAUGACCUGGGCAAGAAGGCCACUGCGACAGGUUACUGAAGUGAGGCAGAAAGGUCAGUUUUCACCGCGGUCGACCGCGGUUGGCCGCGACCGCUUGCACUGUUCACGCAGCUGGAAGUUUAAAGACCAAAGUGUAAUUUUGGGGAAACAUUUGUAAAACCCUUAUAAGCUUUAGGAACUCGCCCAACUGAAGGGAAAGCUAAUUUAGACUACUUUUGGGAGGAAGAACAAGUGUGAGAAGAUCAACAACAUUAGCGUUUUUCUAUCUCCUUUUAAUUCUUGCAAUUUUACAUUAUGAACAAUUUAGUAAUUUUCUCUUGUUUUGUUAUGAGUAGCUAAAUACUUAUCUAGGGUUGAUGGAACCAAUUGUUGGUUGAAGUUUUGACUCAAGUUGUUAUAAUUGAGUCAGAUUUAUGAUAUGAUUGUUCAACUACGUUUUGUAUGGUGAUUAAUUGAAUAGGCCCUCGAUUAAUCGUG
rnacentral:lncRNA from 1 species